CGGGGAAUAUUGCACAAUGGGGGAAACCCUGAUGCAGCGACGCCGCGUGAGCGAAGAAGGCUUUCGAAUCGUAAAGCUCUGUCCUAUGAGAAGAUAAUGACGGUAUCAUAGGAGGAAGCCCCGGCUAAAUACGUGCCAGCAGCCGCGGUAAUACGUAUGGGGCGAGCGUUGUCCGGAAUUAUUGGGCGUAAAGGGUACGUAGGCGGUCUAUUAAGUCAGGUGUGAAAGCGUGAGGCUUAACCUCAUUAAGCACUUGAAACUGAUAGACUUGAGUGAAGGAGAGGAAAGUGGAAUUCCUGGUGUAGCGGUGAAAUGCGUAGAUAUUAGGAGGAAUACCGGUGGCGAAGGCGACUUUCUGGACUUUUACUGACGCUCAGGUACGAAAGCGUGGGGAGCAAACAGG
rnacentral:rRNA from 1 species